rnacentral:rRNA from 1 species
GUAGGCAUGCAUCUUAGGCAAAUCCGGGGUGCUCUAUGCUGAGAGUCGAUAGCAAGCUGUACUUGUACAGUGAAGUGGCUGAUACCAUGCUUCCAGGAAAAGUCUCUAAGCUUCAGUUACACAGGAAUCGUACCCGAAACCGACACAGGUGGUCAGGUCGAGUAGACCAAAGCGCUUGAGAGAACUCUGCUGAAGGAACUAGGCAAAAUGGUACCGUAACUUCGGGAGAAGGUACGCUGCUGACGGUGAUGGGACUUGCUCCCUGAGCUAUUGGCAGCCACAGAAACCAGGCCGCUGCAACUGUUUAUUAAAAACAUAGCACUCUGCAAACACGAAAGUGGACGUAUAGGGUGUGAUGCCUGCCCGGUGCUGGAAGGUUAAUUGAUGGGGUUAGCGUAAGCGAAGCUCUUGAUCGAAGCCCCAGUAAACGGCGGCCGUAACUAUAACGGUCCUAAGGUAGCGAAAUUCCUUGUCGGGUAAGUUCCGACCUGCACGAAUGGCAUAAUGAUGGCGGCGCUGUCUCCAGCAGAGGCUCAGUGAAAUCGAAAUCGCUGUGAAGAUGCAGUGUACCCGCGGCUAGACGGAAAGACCCCGUGAACCUUUACUGCAGCUUGACAUUGAACUUUGACCUUACUUGUGUAGGAUAGGUGGGAGGCUUUGAAGUUGGAACGCUAGUUCCAAUGGAGCCGUCCUUGAAAUACCACCCUGGUAAUGUUGAGGUUCUAACUCUGUCCCGUUAUCCGGGACGAGGACCAUGUCUGGUGGGUAGUUUGACUGGGGCGGUCUCCUCCUAAAGAGUAACGGAGGAGUACGAAGGUGCGCUCAGCGUGGUCGGAAAUCACGCGUAGAGUAUAAAGGCAAAAGCGCGCUUAACUGCGAGACCCACAAGUCGAGCAGGUACGAAAGUAGGUCUUAGUGAUCCGGUGGUUCUGUAUGGAAGGGCCAUCGCUCAACGGAUAAAAGGUACUCUGGGGAUAACAGGCUGAUACCGCCCAAGAGUUCAUAUCGACGGCGGUGUUUGGCACCUCGAUGUCGGCUCAUCUCAUCCUGGGGCUGAAGCAGGUCCCAAGGGUAUGGCUGUUCGCCAUUUAAAGAGGUACGCGAGCUGGGUUUAGAACGUCGUGAGACAGUUCGGUCCCUAUCUACCGUGGGCGCUGGAAAUUUGAGAGGAUCUGCUCCUAGUACGAGAGGACCAGAGUGGACGAACCUCUGGUGUACCGGUUGUGACGCCAGUCGCAUCGCCGGGUAGCUAUGUUCGGAAGGGAUAACCGCUGAAAGCAUCUAAGCGGGAAGCCUACCUCAAGAUAAGAUUUCCCUAGGAAUUUAUUCCUCUAAAGAGCCGUUCGAGACUAGGACGUUGAUAGGUUGGGUGUGGAAGCACGGUGACGUGUGAAGCUGACCAAUACUAAUUGCUCGUGAGGCUUGACU